rnacentral:rRNA from 1 species
GACGUAGGGCGCGAGCGUUGUCCGGAUUUAUUGGGCGUAAAGAGCUCGUAGGCGGCUUGUCGCGUCGGCCGUGAAAACUUGGGGCUCAACCCCAAGCCUGCGGUCGAUACGGGCAGGCUCGAGUUCGGUAGGGGAGACUGGAAUUCCUGGUGUAGCGGUGAAAUGCGCAGAUAUCAGGAGGAACACCAAUGGCGAAGGCAGCUCGCUGGGACGGUACUGACGCUGAGACGCGAAAGCGUGGGGAGCAAACAGG